GGCCCCGCUCACGCUCUGCUCCUGUCCGCAGCUGCCGCCCAGCCCGCGCCCUGAUCGCGGCCCUUCGACAAGCCCGCGCUCCUCCCGGGACCCAUGUCUCUGGCCAGGGCUCCACCCGUCUCCACUCUAAUUCGCAUUCUUUCUCUCCGGCAGAGCAGGGGUCUCCCCACCCGAGCCCUUGUAUCCGCGCUGCAGCUGUCUGCCCGCCACAGCCAAGUCGUCAGUGAGAAUUCAGGCCUUGCGUCGGACCACAUUAUAUGUUUGUAGCAUUAUCCUUGUCUCGUUUUAUCCCCCGAGUUCUGUGGAGUCUGGAUCCACUCGAGGACUGGGACUUUCCUCCUCAAUGCCAGGUCUCCCAUAGGCUGCCGCUUGAAUCUCGGUCCUUGUUCUCAAGGGGUGUAGCAAUAUGAGGCUCUCUCCCUGGAGCUCCCUGAUUGCAGAUUUGACUCGUCUAGCUAGCCAGCUCCCCCGGCUCUGCUUCCGGAGCACCAGGUCACAGGCAGGCCCCAUCACCGGCAGUACUCAUCUGGAUCCCGGGGCUCCGAGCCAGGACAGUCAGGCUUACUUGGCAUGUGCUUUAUCCACUGAGCAGCUCUUCAGCCCCUGGUCCAUCAGCUGGAGAAGCCAGUUCUCACUGACUCCGGGUACUGGGCAGGACGCCGAGAGGACAUCCCGGGGACUUCGGCUAGAUGCAUGAGUGCCUCAGGCUCCCCUCUGCCCCACCCUGUGUGUCUGGAAGAAACGGACACUAGAACUGGAGAUAUGGCUUAGUGCUUGGUUCAGGCACUUGCCCGUGAAGCCAAAGAACCCAGGUUAUAUUCCCCAGUACCCACGCUGGCCAGAUACACAAGACGGUGCAUAUGUCUGAAGUUUGAUUAAGAAAAAAAAAGAAAGAAAGAAAGAAACGGACACUAGAUUGUCCUGAAAAAUUCAAGCUGCUACCAAACUUCUGAGAAACACCAAAAAGACACCAAGUCCCUUUGUGUUGGUGUGUCAGUGCAGGUGCCUGGCCGGGUCACCGCGCAAGCACAGAGAGGUGCGGUCUUUGUGCCCAGGUGUACCUUGAGAGCAGCGCCCCGGGCCACGCCAGGCCGCGGGGAGGCCGGCAGAUGGAGGAGCAUGUGCCUGGGAGAUGGCUCAAAGGCUGUGGUGCGUGAGGGGAGUUCAUUUUCAUGCCGCCGUCCUGACUUGCAUAACAGUUUUUACAAUUGUGGUCCAAAGCAAUAGCCUCCAGAACCUGUACCGUCCCAUUCCACAACUCCUCAAACAUCUUGGCACACCGACUGGUGUUUUGGAGCGGGGUUUUCCGGGGGUGCGGGCGAUGGCUGAGUGGGUGAGGGGCUGGCUCUGCGAGUGUGAAUUUGGAUCGCCAGCACUCAUGGAAAUCCUGGGAGUACUGGGCUUGCCUCUAUCCCAGAGCUGGGCAGGCAGAGGCCAGUGCUUCCCUGGGACUUGCUGGCUAGCUACACUUGCCACCUCAGUGUGCUCCAUGUUCAUGGGGAAGGUCCUGUCUCAGUCAGUAAGGUGGGGCGCAAUAGAGGAAGACACCCCACUUCAGCCCCUGGUCUCCACAUGUGCAUGUGCAGCCACACACACAUGCACCAAACAUACUGCAUACACACACAACCAAAUAUAAAAACAAAGAGAGAAACAAAGAGAUGGAUAUUUUUCUUUCAUUUUUUAAAACCAAAUUUAAAUUUGUGAUUCUUUGGGGAAAGCUUUUCUAAAAUUGAAUGACUAUCAUCAAGAAUCAAGUUUUGGGGGACUGGAGAGAUGGCUUUGUGGCUAAGGUACUUGCCCACAGAGCCUAAUGGCCCAAGUUAAAUUCCCCUGUACCCACAUAA